rnacentral:RNase_P_RNA from 1 species
GACAUCUGUUGAAUAGUCGCUCGGUCCCGCUUUUGGCGGGAGCGAGAGGAAAGUCCGAACACCAUUCCGCUUUUGGCGGGAUAAAAAAAUGAUGGCUAACGGCCAUCGUUCCGGUAGCGAUACCGGAAUAGGGAAAGUGCCACAGAGACAAUACUAGUUCGAUAUUCGUAUCGGACAAAAGGUGAAAAGUUUGCGCGUAUCCUUUAUGUUCUUAAUUGAGCUUUUAGGUAGCGCAAUUUCCGGCAAGGCAACUUGCCGGGAUGGUAAACCCCGUUUGGUGCAAGGCCGUGUCUCUUGUGCUAUGCGCAAGGAAAUUCGAAGCACGAAGCCACGUCAGACGUGGCGAAGCACGAAAUUCAAAACAAAAAAGACGUUUUCGGAUUUCGGAUUUGGAAUUUCGGAUUUUUUCGCGCGUAGCGCGAGAGAAGUGCCGCUUAGUCCUGAGUUAAUCGAAGGACUUGACCCCGAGAGUAAUCGAGGGGCUUAGAUAAAUGACUAUUGUCCCGGCGCAAGCCGGGAUACAGAAUUCGGCUUACAGACAGAGGUCAUCA